UUUAUUUAAGAACUUAUUUUGAAAUAUGAUUAUAUUAUUAUCUUUUAUCUAGCAUGGUUUAUUUUGGGUGGCAAUAAUUUAAAAAUCUGUUAAUGCCAUGUCAUGUCAAGGGUUAGACGAACAAAGCAAAGAGAAUGAUGAUGAACAAAAAGAAGGUGAUGGGGAGAAAUUAGUGAAAGAUAUAGAGGAAUUUGAAAACCAAAAGAAG
rnacentral:lncRNA from 1 species